rnacentral:rRNA from 14 species
CCGAACCCACACCUGUUGAAAAAGGUCGGGAUGAGGUGUGCCUAGGGGUGAAAGGCCAAUCAAACUCGGAGAUAGCUGGUUCUCUGCGAAAUCUAUUUAGGUAGAGCGUCGGACGAAUACCCUCGGGGGUAGAGCACUGAAUGGGUAAUGGGGGCCCACAGCCUUACUGAUCCUAAUCAAACUCCGAAUACCGAGGAGUAAUAUCCGGCAGACACACAGCGGGUGCUAACGUCCGUUGUGGAGAGGGAAACAACCCUGACCUCCGACUAAGGCCCCUAAUUCAUGGCUAAGUGGGAAAGCAGGUGGGACGACCAAAACAACCAGGAGGUUGGCUUAGAAGCAGCCAUCCUUUAAAGAUAGCGUAACAGCUCACUGGUCUAAACAAGUUGUCCUGCGGCGAAGAUGUAUCGGGGCUCAAGCCAUGAGCCGAAGUCUAGGAUGCAAUUUAUUGCAUGGUAGCAGAGCGUAGUGUG